CCGUCAUUGGGGAGUAGCCGCCCUUCGCGCAAGCGUUGGGGCCUGCGUCAACACACUUGGCCCACCCGGCCAUGGCGCAGGCGGUUCCCGUACUUGGCAAGACCAUUGACCACGACGCUGCCGGACUGGCCGGGGCGCGCGUGGUCAUUGGAUC
rnacentral:sRNA from 1 species